AGAGCGAACGCUGGCGGCAGGCCUAAUACAUGCAAGUCGAACGGAUCCUUCGGGAUUAGUGGCGGACGGGUGAGUAACACGUGGGAACGUACCCUUUGGUUCGGAACAACUCAGGGAAACUUGAGCUAAUACCGAAUGUGCCCUUCGGGGAAAAGAUUUAUCGCCAUUGGAGCGGCCCGCGUCUGAUUAGCUAGUUGGUAGGGUAAAGGCCUACCAAGGCUACGAUCAGUAGCUGGUCUGAGAGGAUGAUCAGCCACACUGGGACUGAGACACGGCCCAGACUCCUACGGGAGGCAGCAGUGGGGAAUCUUGCGCAAUGGGCGAAAGCCUGACGCAGCCAUGCCGCGUGAAUGAUGAAGGUCUUAGGAUUGUAAAAUUCUUUCAGCGGGACGAUAAUGACGGUACCCGCAGAAGAAGCCCCGGCUAACUUCGUGCCAGCAGCCGC
rnacentral:rRNA from 1 species